AGGUCAAUGAUGGGACUUUACCUUGUCUUGAAAACAGAUGAUGACCUAAAUAUCAUACUGAAUAGGAUUAUGUAGGGACAG